AACGAACGCUGGCGGCAUGCCUAACACAUGCAGGUCGAACGAGAUCUUCGGGUCUAGUGGCGCACGGGUGCGUAACGCGUGGGAAUCUGCCCUUUGGUUCGGAAUAACAGUUGGAAACGACUGCUAAUACCGGAUGAUGACGAAAGUCCAAAGAUUUAUCGCCAGAGGAUGAGCCCGCGUAGGAUAAGCUAGUUGGUGUGGUAAAGGCGCACCAAGGCGACGAUCCUUAGCUGGUCUGAGAGGAUGAUCAGCCACACUGGGACUGAGACACGGCCCAGACUCCUACGGGAGGCAGCAGUGGGGAAUAUUGGACAAUGGGCGAAAGCCUGAUACAGCAAUGCCGCGUGAGUGAUGAAGGCCUUAGGGUUGUAAAGCUCUUUUACCCGGGAUGAUAAUGACAGUACCGGGAGAAUAAGCUCCGGCUAACUCCGUGACAGCCGCCGCAGUAA
rnacentral:rRNA from 1 species